rnacentral:lncRNA from 1 species
AGGCACAUGAUGAUUUUAAAUCAUAUAGGAUCUAAUAUAGACGAUUCACGAUUCACAUUACCAAGAGGUGCGCAAAAAUGAUCAAGUCUCACAACAUCAAGUGCACUUUAAUUUAGGCAACAGAACAAAACUCAUUACACCUCCACAUAGCUAGGCAAAGAAGGAAAGCAGUAGACUAAGAAGGCAACAGUACAGCAUUCUUCUUCCCAAGACAGACAGGUAUAAAGGAAGAAAUUUCUUAGCGCAGCCUCCUAGCCUCCCGCUCAGACUCGAGCAGGGUGAGGAUGUCGCCCUCACGAACAGGGCCCUUGACGUUCCUCAUGAUGAGACGGUUCUGGUCAUCCAGGAACUUGACUCUCACCUGGGUCACCUGACCCCUCGACCCGGUGCGGCCCAUCACCUUGACCACCACCGCGAGCUUCACCUGCGUAUCCAUGCUGCAAAAACCAUCGCAAAGGAUUGAUUGCAUUAGGCAAAAACCAUCAGAAACAACUACCAUUCAAAUGCAAUAUCAAGCCGAACAGCUAGUGUACAUACAAUUCCAUUGCACUUGAGAUAGAUAAUACAGGAACAUGUCUACUGUGUGUUGCCAGAAUACAUGAAAAACAGAAGCUGAAGAAUGAGCUGACUGCAGGCAAUACCGAGCAUAAACAAUCAAGGGAAGUGAUCAGCAACAGUAAGAAGGCUCUGCUAGAUGGUGCUCUGGGCCAGCUGGACACAGACAAGAAACUGGAAUGACUCCUCAGUCAGGUCACUAUGUGGCUGAGCCUCUUCAGUCCAUGGUUUCGCUGUUAUACUCUACAGUCUACAGUAUGAUUAUGGUUGGCGUAAACCUUUUUGUUAGCUAGUAUGCAAAUUAAAACUUUCAUGAAGUUUUCACGCAUCUCUAAUGCCUGAUGUAUUGUUUUUGAAGUUUCAACAAGCCAUUUGGAGUCAAUUUCCAUGCCACUACAGUCUACAGCAAUGACCCUGCCGGAUCUUUUGGUGCAUUUGUUACUGCAUUUCAUUUAAUCUUACUUACCAAAAUGUGAUUCAGAAACACUGCAGAGUUUCCUCUGUUUAGAUGCAAGUUAAGUUCAGAAACAGAAGCACUGCAAAGUUGCCUCUGUUUAGAUGCAAGUUUAAGUUUCAGAAACAUAUCAUUUUCCAAUAGGCAAAGCAGGAGCACCAUCAGAAACAACCAACUAAUGCACCAUUCAAAUGCACUAACAGUUCUAGGCAAAGCAGAGCCACCACCGGAACAGCUAGUGUACAAUUCCAUCACACUUGAGAUCGUACAGGAGAGCACACAAAUGCCAGUAUAUGCAAUUGCAGACCAAAAUAAAACUAUAAUUAACAGACCCUGUUUUUCAAAUAAAUAUUCAGCAAGAACCAAUAAGGUCCAAAUAGGGCUCUGGCUCCAACCAUAUUAUCUUUUAUUUAAAGACAGUAUGUUUCAAUUCCUCCUCUAUACAAAUCUUCAGCAAGGAUCACCAGCAUAUAGUAUGUACCAACGACUCCGCAAGUAAGAACCCGGGGCUUACUUGAGAUCCAAAGAGUAGCUACCAGACUAGAGAUAUCGGGGACUAAACUAUCAACGAAAUCAAUCACAGCAACUAAAUCGAUCCAGCACAAAAACGAAACGAUAAAGAUCACCGAUCCGUAGAGGCACGCGUGAGGGGGGCGUAGGGGAAGGAGGGAGGGAGGGGAACCUUUCUCCGGCUGCUUCUGAGACGACGGAGGCGGCGGCGCAAGCUGCUUCUGCUACAACAGACGGAGGCGGCGGCGCGGAGAGGGAGGAAAUAAUUCAGGGAAAAACCCUAGCGCUCGUCCAAUUCUUAUUUAUACGCUAUCGGCGGCCUUGCACAAGAUUGGCCUCGUGUGCUAAUGGGCCUAAACCAGAGCGCGCGUCUCCAGCAAGCGAGCUUACAUCAGCCUUUUUUCGAGUCGUUUCGCUUUCAUCUAUUUAAAAAUCAUGAAUUUGGUAAACAAAUAUUCACAAAUUAAAAAAUUGCACACGAAUUCAAAAGAUUGUUCACGAAUUCUAUUUUUUCUGAGAACUUUAAAAAAUCAUGAAUUCAAACAUUGAUCGCGGAUUUGAAAAAAAAAUGUUCAUGUAUUCAAAAUAUUUCUUAAAAAAUCUAAAAUUCUUUGCGGAUUUCAAAAAAUGUUCAUGAAAACUAAAAGAUAAUCGGAAAUUUGGAAAAUGUUCAUAGAUCCAAAAAAAAGUCCAUGGAUAUGAAACCUGUCCAUGAAAUCACAAAAUGUAUGCAAACAAAUUCUGUAAAUGUGUGAAAACAAAUUUAAUUUUCUAAAAUACUUUUAAAUUGUGAGGAAAAUUAUGCAAAUUCCGAACCUUUUUUGGAAAUUCAAACACUUUUUUGAUGAAACAUGACCAUUUUUUUUAAAUUGUAAAUUAUUACUGAAAUUUCAAGUAAUUUAAAAAACUAAAUAUUUUGAAAUAAACAAGGACAAUUUUUUGAACCCAAAGAUUUGUGGGAAAAGCAAACAAUUUGGAUAUUUUAAAAAAAAUUGAAAAAGAAAAAAUUUCUAACAAUUUCUCGAAAAAAAUUGGAUCUUUCAAAAAAAAUUGAAUUUUUAAAAUAUUUAUCAAAAAAGAACCAAAAAAAGAAAAAACGACAAAUAAAUCAAAGAAAAUAAAAAAUCAAAACCACAAAGAGAACCAGUAAAGAAAUGAAAAAAAAGGGGCAGGAACCGUCUAGAAGAUUCAACCGAUAAAACCGGCAUGGGCCCCAAACCGUCUAAAAGAUUCAACGUCGAACCCGCUAAUCACUCCCAUUUGCCUCUUAAUGGGCCAGCCUGACUUGGACGAUGAACGGGCGAUUGGACGGAUAUCUAUCACUAUACAUAGGAAAUCACUAGUUAAGGGUUACCCAUUGCAAACGUCACCCUCCACCUUCUCAGGUGCUGAUAAGUGACACACUACAUGUGCACCAUUUGAUCACAAUAAACAUAGGCCUUGACUUUUACAGCUGAAUGCAAUCAGAAUAAUGGAUGUGAUACACCCAUCCUGAAAUCCUAUAGAACUACAUCAAUUUGGCACCUUGUACCACAAAUAAAACCCAAUGAACAUAUUUGCCGCACUUAAUGUGGCCUCGCUCUCUUAUGUAACCCCAAACCUUUGUACUUGUAUAAUAUCAAUAAAGUGGUUGUUUUUGUUCCAAAUUGUUAUCUGUUGUCAGAAGACAUGAUCUGGAUUGGCAGCACAAGGUAAACCGGUUCCUCUGAGUCGGAGUCCCACAAUAUAGCUAGCUGCGGAGGAUGAAAUCUAGUGGGAGUCACAGAGAGUUGUGAUGGGACCCGGCCUCUAUGCCCUCCUCCUCCUCGUCGGCAUUGCGAACAGGCUGUCAACACACGUUCUCCGCUACCCUGGAGCAGAAGUUUGCUCGCAAGACUGUUGCCUAACCAUCUAUGCUUUGUUAUGUGAGUCAUCCACUACGCCUCAUUGUUGUUUUCACUAAAAGAAGAAUAGAAGAACAUAAUGAGCAGGGGGAGAAAAUGAAGAAUAGGGGGGCCAUAGCCCCCACCCCCUCGCAUGCUUACGUUAUUUGUAGGCGUCGGCCCUCGUUGGGAUAUGCAACACAUGCUGUAUUCCAGCUCGGUAAACGACAGGUUAUUUAAUGGUUGGCACUGACGGGAAGAGACAUCAUUUGUACAGUGCAGGUGACGGACGUUGAGGCACCAACGCGCAAGCAUGCAGACCAGUCACUAAGUACAGGUUUAUCAGGGGAGAUCACAAACUAAAUCCCUGCGCAUGGGUGUACUUUGGUUGCUCUUAACAUGCUUUGUACCUGUAUAAUAUCAAUAAAGCGGUGGUUUCUGUUCCAAAUUGUUAUGUGUUGCCAGAAGACAUGAUCUCUGGGCAUCCAAACGUCUGCUUUUUUUUUGAGGAAACUAUACAUUUGCUCUCGUGUUGACUGCAUUUUGGGUUUCUUUGUUAUUUUUAUUAAUCACAACGCAUGCAAGCUCGGAGGCCGGGAAUGGCUACCACAGUUGUUUAUGUCCAUCUAACAUCUAGGUUGACCAGUGGGGCCCAGCUGCCAGACAUGCAACAAGCUGUUUUAACAACCAAGCCUUGUUUGGAUACGCUUGUUUAGCUGAACUAGUUUUCCGUAAACCUAUCUAACAGUCUAACAAACUAAAAUCAUGUUUGGCCCCUCCAACAAAAACAUGGAUAAGAAAAUUCAGUUUCCGUAGGAAACUACAUUUUAUCAAAAACGAAUAUUACUCAUUUUUCUGAAAACAUGAUUACAAAGAACUUGGCGUAACUGGUUUUUUUUAUUGUUUUAUCAUAGUAAUGCAUUUGCUGCGCUGCAAUAUUCUCUGUACCUCCGUGUCGCCCCUUCACAUCCAGAACCCCGAACUGGAAUUGGAGGCAACAACCUCAACAGUGCUGAACUCUGUUAGAUGUUUAAACUGAGAACUUGUUUUUCUUUUGGUCUUGUCAUGUUGUGAUGAAUUAGAGUGACUUGAUGUGGUUAUGUUGAGCUAUUUGUGUCAUCUGGUCAAGCUGUAAUUUCGUUAGUGUGAUUUGGUCUUGUUAAUUAUGUUGUGAUUUGCUUGAGAAUUAUGUUCUUAUUUGCUUCGGAAUCAUGAUGUUAUUUGCUUCAGAACUGAAGUAAUCUAAUUUGGUCAUGCAUGCAAAAACGCUGAGGUGUGUCAUUCAAUUCUGAUCUUGGUAGAUUUGGUCAUGUAAGAAAACUGUGACUUGGCCUUGUUAGUUUUUCUUCAUCCGAGGGUAGAAAGACCAAAAGAUUCACACAUAAACAACACAUUCCAAAAGAUUCACAGUUUCGGGAACCACAAAGCAACAAAUGGAUCCAGAAUACAUCACACACAUUGAUUCAGAGAAAAAUGAUUCAUUCCUGAUCACAAAGAAACCCAUUCAUCCAUUUCUGAGCACAAACAACACAUUGAUUUAUUCCGGAUCACAUCAAAAUAUUGAUUCGGAGAUAAUUGACAUAGACAAGCUCAAAGGUACAUGGAAUUGGUCCAGCACUGCCUGGUAGCUGGAUGCAGAGAAAGAGUAGCUUGCCUCCUUGGCCAAUGGAUGAUUUCACUGAAUGUACAACUACAGCCGUUGGAAAAAACCUGCUCAUACUUUUCUUCAGUGCAGAAUCCUGGGACCUUGUUAGAGACGACAUCCGUACUCUAGUGAGUAGCCUAUCAGCACCGGAACCAUAUGAGACCUCUGCGGCGGUUGCCUCUGCCCGACAGCCUGGGCGUCCUCACCAGGGUUGCCUCCUCCUCUUCAUCAGCGACCUCUCCUAGACUAGGAUCCAUCCUUCUAGGUUUGUUGUAGGUUGUGGGGGACUAGGGUAAGUAGUGUUCUGGCUGGACUGGCUGGGGGUGGAGUUGGUUUAUAUUGAUAGUCUAGGGGAUGGGUGGCUGUGAUAUUGGUCGUUUUCUUAAAACUAAUAAAAAUACCCCAUUCAAAAGUUCAUUCGGAAAAUUCCAGCAAAAAUCAUUGAGCUUCCCUGGUACAUAGAACUAAUAUGCUUCCAUGCAUCUUUUGCAAGAGCCUACGGGUGGCAAGGAAGCAUGGAGAAUGAAUAAGGCGGAUGCAUUGAGUUGCUUGUUCACUUCUUUUCUUGGUGACAAGUUUCUUGGAUCAUAUGCAUGAAUGAUAUCCUUCUUCAAUGAUCCUCCAAAGUUGUGUUCAAUGAUAUCCUUCUUCAAUGAUCCUUGUUCAAUGAACUGUUCAAAUGAUACUUAAUUCGAACCCAAUUAGCUAAGUUGGUCAAAUCAAGCUUAGGAGGAGGGCCAAGGUUGUUUAUGUGAGGCGAGGGAAUCAGACCGCCAUAGACCCGAGGAGGGGCAAACGCGGAAUGGACGCCCGAUCCAACUUUCCCAUGGGAAGGGUUGGACCCCAUGCCACUAGUCGCAUCCUUGGCGGAGUCAACAUCCAUGCUCGAGGAGGAAGUACCAACUACCUUCUCGAGAAUGGUAGCGGCAGUUGGCAAGCCCAAUAGGAAUUCUUGCAACAACCCUUUGACCUCAACAGGCAUGGAUCAUUUAAGUGCAUUCAUGGACACAUACAAAACCACGGGUGACAAUCGUGUUGUCCAAAAACCACUUGUUGAGGUGGAAGUUGUGGUUGUUGUUGGUAUUAUAAAGAGCAAACGCUAAGACCUCACCGCCAGGAUUCAGGUCCAAGAUCAAAGAAUCUGCCGUAAAGAGGAAUUAAGUGUCAUGUCCAUCAGCACACCAAAUCACUAAUCAUAGUUCUAGUGGAAUCUCAUAUGAGUGCUUAUAAGCACAGAUGAUUUAACAAGUAGAAGUGAUCAGAUUUAGACCACCAGCACUCAAAUCAUGGGAUCCAAUAUAGUCGAUUCACAUUACCCAGAGGUGCGCAACAAUAACAUCAAGUGCACUUUAAUGUAGGCAACAGAAGGAAACUCAUUACAUCUCCAUAGCCAAGACAAAAGAUGAAAGCGGUAGAGUAAGAAGGCAACAGCACAUCAUUUCAUGAGCAAUUCCGAAGACAGUCAGGUGAAAAGAAAGUGCUUAGCGCAGCCUCCUGGCCUCCCGCUCAGACUCAAGCAGGGUGAGGAUGUCGCCCUCCCGGACAGGCCCCUUGACGUUCCUCAUGAUGAGACGGUUCUGGUCAUCCAGGAACUUGACUCUCACCUGGGUCACCUGACCCCUGGACCCGGUGCGGCCCAUCACCUUGACCACCACUGCGAGCUUCACCUGCGUAUCCAUGCUGCACAAACCAUCGCAAGGGAUUGCAUUAGGAAAAAACCAUCAGAAAGAAAUAACUAAUCGACUGUUCUAGGCAAAGCACCAGAACAGCUAGUGUACAACUCCAUUGCAGUUGAGAUAGAUCAUACAUACAAGAGAGCACACAACUGUUCCUUACUAUUUGGAACAUGACUACUGUGGGCCCAAAGCAGAAACACUGCAUCAAAAACAGAAACCAGAGAAAUUAUUGGUCUGAAACCGCUGUAAAAGAACAGAUAAAUCUACUGGUCCAAACACCGAAUUCGAACGAAGGACAGUUAUUAACACUCACAGGGAGUGACUUGUUUCCUGCUUCCACAGUUAUUUCCACACUUUGGACUAAACGGCUACUUGUUUGCAGAAAAUGCUACUAGUUCUGGGAGGCAGUUCAAGAACCGUCCGCUCCAUCGUUACCACAACAAUUCUCCAGCGCUCUAGCACCAUCAGGAGUUCAGUCUGACCACUAGGACCUGCAUCUGAUCAAGGAGAAGAUCAGGGACCCUGAGAGGGCCAGGGGUACGUUGAAGAUCAGGAACCUGAAGAAUGAGCUGACUGCAGCCACCACUGAGCUUAAACAUUCAAGGGAAGUGAUCAGCAACAGUGAGAAGAAGGCUCUGCUAGAUGGUGCUCUGAGCCAGCUGGACGCGCACAAGAAAUAAUUGAAAUGUGAUUCAGGAACACUGCAGAGUUGCCUCUGUUUAGAUGCAAGUUAAAUUCAGAAACAGAAACACUGCAGAGUUGCCUCUGUUUAGAUGCAAGUUAAGUUUCAGAAACAGAAACACUGCAGAGUUUCCGUCUGUUUAGAUGUAAGUUAAGUUUCAGAAACAUAUCAUUUUCAAAUAGGCAAAGAAGGAGCACCAUCAGAAACGACGAACUGAUGCACUGUUCUAGGCAAAGCAGAAGCACCGCCAGAACAGCUAGCGUACACUUCCAUUGCACUUGAGAUCAUACAGGAGAGCACGCAAAUGUCCGUGAAUGUAGACCAAAAUAAAACUAGAAUUAACCGCCCCUGUUUUGCAAGUAAAUGGGCUGUCAUAUACUCCCUCCUUUCCGGUUUAUAGACCCUGCGUGUAAAUCUAGGUUCUCUAUUUUACCAACAUAAUAGUACCACACAUCAUACACCACAAAAAUUUAUACCAUUAGAAAGUAGAACAAAUGUUCAGCAAGAACCAGUAAGGCCCAAAUAUGGCUCCAACUAAACUAUGUUGUUUUGCACACAAUAAGGUCCACCAAAUUCCUCCUCUACACAAAUCUUGGGCAAGAACAAGGAUAUGUAUCAAGGAUUUUGCAAGUAAGAACCCGGAGGCUUACUUGAGAUCUGAAGAGUAGCUACCAAUAUCGGCACACAACUAGGCAUUAAAAUUGGAAGAUGAAGCAAGCAUCUCUCAGAAUCAUCAAUACGCCACAAACUAGCCAUGUCGGGAACUAUACUACCAAAGAAAGCUCACAGAUCCGUAGAGCCACGCGUGAAGAGGCCUAGGGUAGGGAGGGAGGGGAUAGGAACCUUAAUUUCUUGGGCUGUUGGUGAUGGGGAUCCCUGCUUCUGCUACGACGACGGAGGCGGCGGCGCAAGCGGCUUCUGCUCCAACGACGGGGGCGGCGGCGCGAGGAGGGCGGAAAGAUGAGAGGGUAGAACCCUAGCGCCCGUCCAAUUAUUUAGGCUGCGCUGCCGGCGGCCUUGGUUGGGCUCCUGGUCCGUAUGCGAGCAAAUGGUCUGUUGGGCCCCAAGCCCAAACAGGUGCAGCUUUACUUUAGUAGAUACACUUUCUUCUUUGCCUAUGUCUCAAAAAAAAAAUAUUCUUUGCCUAAAAAAAAUACACUUUCUUCUUCUGCUGAAAAAAAGAUACACUUUAUUUUUCUUUCUUUCAUAGUUCGAGAACCAAGGCGAUACCCCUGAAAUAGUUCAGGGACCAACAGUACACUUCACUCUAUGUGCAAUAUACUCCUACGCAAUGAUGUUCAAAACCACAAACAUGGGUUAUAUUUGAACUAGAAGAAAUAUUGCUACAACGCAUCACCAUAUGAACAUUUGUUGGUGUAAAUGAAAACCAAAGGACUGGUGUUCUGAUUUUUAUUUUAUUUUUGAUUUAAUAUAAGGGCAUUUUGAUUUGAAAUUGAGGAGCAAAGCCUCUUUUUUUUCUAAUAUCAAAUUGAGAAGCACCGCUAACAUGCUAAGGAAAUGAACUGUACAUUGAUUUUUCCAUCUUUUUUCUGGGCAAACCUGUACAUUGAUGGAUACCAGAAAAUAAUUGAGAAGCUCGUCGCCGGAGUUCAUCAGAGCUUUAGUUCGCGCCGCCGUUGAGCCUGGGCACGUGCCCUAGUUGCCGGGACAGUAAUCACCCCUGGUUACAUGCUUGAUGAUUCUGCAUAAUUCUUUCAUGCUCUGCUUUCUUUGCGUGCUACUUGCUGUUGCUCACUCUACAGGAUGCAACGGCGAUGCGCUCCCUGAUUUUCAUGCAUAUUAUUCUAGUUACAAGUCUGCCGGUAAAUAAAGGCCAGCUCUAGGGAAAGAACCAACAUGUCUGCUGGUAAACUUUAUAAUCGAGCGAUGGUCCUAAGGGUCAGGUUUCUUUGGAAAAAGCAGAUUUAAAAAAUCUGCAACGACCUUAUCAUCUGACAGUUUGUCAAGAACGUAACAGUUCAAACAAAAACAUAAUAACGCCAUUCAGCUCCAGUUCUCUCAAUUUGUAGAAAAAUGAGACCCCGUAUGAUCGGACGCAUUCACGCACACCCUGAAAAUGGUUGAUGCAUAAAGUAUAGGAAGCCAUUGAUCUUCUUCCCAUCAGGACCUUCAAUUGAAGAGACCAUUGGCAACGUCCUCCAUCAUGCUCUUCUUCAUGUCGCUGGUGCUGCUUGUCCCCAUUGUCAGUGACCCAAGCAUCCCAUUCCCAUCUGCUGUCGUCGUUGGAGGAAUCACAUUAUUUUGAUUGGUAUUUUUAGAAGCCGGACUCCAGGCAUCUGUGUAUUGGCAGACUGCACUUCUAUUAAGGCCUGAGAACACAAGGGAAAUAUUUGAGUUUCAUUGAUGAGCACAUGCAAACAGAAACUAGGAUACCAAUUUAUUCUCCACCAGAUUGAUUAUCCAUUUUGUUCCUAUUGACCACUACAGAUUAUUCUGUGUAAAUACCAAGAGCAGAUUGGAGAUAAAUCACAAUACAAAUCUAUCAUCGUGCACGCUCACACUCUGCAUUUUAAAAACCAAACCAAAAAUAAACCGAACCGAACCAAUUUUACGAUUUUUAUGGUUUCUGGUUUAGGUAUGGUAUGAACUUUCCAUACCGUUCUGCAACAAAUCGAGUUUUUCUUUGAACUGUCAGCAAGUUGAAUUUAGAGAAACAAGUAGUUCGAUAAAGAUCAGCAACGGAACAAAAUAUUAAAAUUCACCGUGUUGUGCAGCCCUGUCAUUAGGAUAUUGCCAUGUAGAUGCUUGUACAGUAGGACCUGCGUCAUUGUUCAGGGGCGCUGCACGGACUGGGCGGCCAUUGUUCAUGAAGUAAUCAGGAGUAAGACCAAAGAGCCCUGAGUUCUCCCUCUCGUCAAACUUCUUAUACGCAGACUUUUUCCAGUUGUUCACUUUAAGCUGUAACAGAAUAUAUGAAGGUCAUUGCCAGCACUAUUAUUUUAAUUAGUGAGUAUCAACUGCCUAACUGUGAUAGAGUGGAACAGUAUACAAUAUAAUACCUGCGGAAACUGAUCGACGUCAUUGACACUGUACGGAACAUAGUCAUCAGUGAUCUUACCGACAAGAUCAUAGAAAUCAUUGAAUAGGAUUUCACAGUUAUCCUCUUGAACACAGUAGGAAUAGAUCUCAUCCCCAGGAACACACAUGGUGGCAUGAUUAAUCAUGGUAUUCCAAUCCUCUUUCUUCAUGUCAACAAGCUAAUUGCCAUAAAUUAAGAGUUAUCUUAUCAAUUAAUGAAAUGCUAUCAGAUAUUAUAGUACCUAUUAAAGCAGUGCAUGUCCAAAUAAGUCCUAGAUGCUGCAUGUCUUAUUUCGGUCCAGGACAAUGUUUAACUAAUAACUAAUAUCUACUGCAGGUAAUUUGAAACAUUGAAGACUGCAGAAAUAUGAUUAUAACCUUUUGGAGACCAAAUUUAUCUUUGUGAUAAUGGCGCAACAAGUGCUUCACUUUGGUAAUAUAUUGAUCCUCAAGAUUGUUCCAAUGUUUUCCCUUCAGGGCAAUUUUCUUCAGUCGAUGUACCGCGUCGUCCUUGUAUGGAAUAGUACUCUUUCCAUGUACUGAAAUAGACAAAAGAUCAGGUGUGUUCAGACAAGAUUGCUAAUAUGAAAUUGUAUCAUUUUGGCUAUACUUGCUGAUAGUAAUGGUAUUUAGUAUACCAAAAACUGAAAGGUUAACUGAAUAAACCGAAGUAAAAAAUAUAUUUUAUUUCUUGAGGCGAAACGACCAUACAAGUAGUCAUUUUUCUUGUACAGUAGCCAGAUUCCCUGCUAAGCACAUCCAUUUUUCUUGUAACAUAGUCGUUUUUUCGCUUAAAAAAUGCUAAGCACGACCAUAACCAUCAAGGCAUGAAUCCAUGCAUGCAUAUAUAGUUAUAUACUAUUUGUAUAAAAAAUUAUGAGUUUUGAGUCAUAAAUUUGUAAAUUAUUAUUAUGUCAUUUUCAAAUUCACGUCAACUUUGGUUAUUAUAGUAUAUACCAAAACCAUACCAAAAUAAUUAGGUAUGUACGUAAACCGAAGCGUAUCUUAAUUUACCGUAUUUACUGAAGUAUUAAUACUAUACAAACCAAAAACCCGUAUAAACCGAACCAUGUAAACCGAAUAAAUUGAAUGCACAGAGUUACUGCACCGAAACAAACACACAUCUAUCAAAACACCAGGAAUGCAUUUACUUUGUUUUGGUAAUGCAAAUAUGUAGACAUUGAUUACAUAUUAAGGUUUUCAUUUUCAUCAACAAAACUAAAUGGCAAUCAAAUUGACCACUGGGACGAUCUAAGUUCACAUCACUAACCAUCAGCACCGUACCACUCACCGGGCACAUUUCAAGCUACUACACAUCAGUCAUCAAGGAAACAACCACAAAGUGACUCUACAACUUCAUCACUUAUAGAUAUCUAAUGUGCCUCAAUGCAUCAUCAGCAAAUUGAGCAUCUUGAAUGCCCUCAGACAUUCUGAAGAGUGUGCAUACUAAACUCCUAGCACAAGGACCCUGAAGCUAUGCAAUAUACCAAGAGACAAGAUUUCAAGAAAAUUACUUGCAUAUUCUUAGAGCACAAAGGCAUACGUGAUUUCCAAAUAGUACUUCCAAAUUCUACAUUCCUAGCCACACUAUGUUCAACAUACCUCGAAUCAGCCAUAACAUUGACAUCUUUUGCUGAAUAACUAAUCAAUUAGAAAUGGAUUCCCAGUACAGAUCAGACUCCACCUCACUAACACUAAAAGACUAAACUACACGCUCGUCUUUCCCCACUCGACCACAACGAUAUCAUUGCAAGCAAGCAAUCAACCAUAGAAACCACAAGAUCUGCACUGGGAAAGGAGAGAGAACCAAUCGAACACGGGACUAAUCUGCUCUCUCAAUAAGUGACAAAGGGAGUUAGGAAAUUGUACUAGCAAGCAUGCUCCUAUUUAUGAGUAUAUUAUGUAACAUUUCACAUUUAGAAAAGGUAUAUCAUGUUUUAGUACUGAGAUGAAAUAACUGAUAGAAUAUUCAAAGAAACGAUCAUUACCUCUUGUCCGGACUUCCUUCAUUUUGAAAGGAUUUGAUACCCCUUCAAUAACUCUUAUGUCUGUAUGCACUGCGAUCCUUACUCCAAGUUUAACUUCCAUUCGUAGUGAAUUGUCCAUAAUAAUGGCACCAUGAUGAUCACACCUCCCAUCAAUCAAAUCAAAUGUACCAUUUUUCACUAGCCUUUUGAUUCCUUUUCUUGGUUCUAUUAUGCUUUCCUCAAACUCCUCUUUAGACCACGAAUCUCGCUUUUCAUCGAACCCUCCUUCAAUGAUAACUAGGUCAACUGUUAUUGAAGCAAGAGGGUGGUCAAAUGCAAUUGGCUUGCCACCAUCGUACAUGACAACUUUUAUGUGAUCUCCGCCAUCCUCGGUCUUUACAGUACUAUUUUUGUAAAUUGUUCUGCUCACACUAUUUUCAAUUACUAGACGAAAUCUUGUUGAUUGGAUAACCAUUGAUCUGCACCAGCACAUAACAGAAGAUACGUUAAAUACUGAAAGAACAACAAUGGUGAAUUGUUCUGAUGUUAUAAGCCACGUAAGAAAAACCUUAGUUAUAAAUUUGUGGGCUUGUGGCUCAUCUUGUGAGCUACGUUUUCUCUUUAUAUGCAAGUAGAUAAGUGCAGUCAAUAGCUUAGACCCAUCUUACAUGCAACACUCAUUAUUUGGAUGACUCUAUUUCACUUCUGACACGUCCUGCUUCCUGAAGUGAGUGGGAAGUGGCACUAUUGUAGCAGUUUAGACUGUCAUAAGAUACUUAAACUGAAGAAGCUCCUAAAAUGAGAAUUGAUUGAGAAAGAACAAGGACACAAACAGAAGAAUUUGGUUCAAAAUUUCAAACUAUGUGCUGUUGUCUACAUAUAUUCACUACUAGACCUCAGUUGUAAGUAUGAACGGCUGUUGGAUUUCCACGAAUUACAAAACAGAACUUAAUACACUAGUAUAAUUUGGUUCAAAAAGUAUGCGUAAGAAAGUACAAAUUCUAAGUGCUCAUUUAGAUUGUUUGUACCACUUAUAAUAAAGCAUCGAAAGUACUACUAUAUCAACAUCUAGGUAUUAUGAAGUGUCCAGAUGUUUUAGCACCUUACGUAAAUCUUGAAUCGUAAACAGAUGUUUUCGCCAGAGGAAGUUUAGUGCAGGUUUUAUUCUUAGAUUUUGAAAUGGAUCCAAUCUUCCAGUUCUAUAGAUGGGGCCCAUUUAAUAUCCACAUUAAGCUUGUAUACCAUCUCCAAACCAUGUACUUGAGAAUGUUUUUUAAUAAUAUGGCUGCAUGCAUCAUUCUGAUGCAGAGGCCGGGGAUAAUCCUUCUUUUCUAAAAUAAUAUAAUCCACACUCCAACAGUGUUGGCUACGUGGAAUGGUGCACACCCAGGUUCCAAACACUUUUCCAGGAGUAAUUUAAAAAAAAAAGUUCCAGUCCUUGCUUUACAAUUAUCUUCCAAGCAUCCUCGUCCAAUCAUAGAUAAAGAGACGCCUCACCUCUGAGGUGGAGAUAGAAUGUAAUGAUUUAACUCAGCACGCCCUUCCUUUCGCAUAUCUUCGGUUUUUAAUGUGAACUCUUGGUGGUCUUCCAUGAGUAUUCUGAGAUCUUCCUCAUAUUUGUUCUUAUCUUUUUCCCUUUUUACCUUAAGCUUUCCAGUUUUGAAUUUUUCCUCCGUGCUCAUUUUAACCUAUGAAAAGAUGACACAGUUUAUAACCAUACAUUAUAGAGAAAGUGAGUACAGAAAUACCAUCUUAAUGUAAAAUGCUUAUGAGAAACGUAUAUAUUGUGGGACAAGGGGAUAUAAAAGUCAUUACUGCUAAUGCGUCGACGUAUUUCCUAGCAUCGCACUCCAGCGGGGGGACUUGUUUGCUCACUCUGAGCGAUGCUUUGAGGGAUGUGAUCCAUUGGCCAAUUGAUUCUAUAGAAGUGUAGAUAAAUAAUGGUAUGUCAACUGGAGAUACAUGCAACUACAUGAAAUUUUGGAACACUAGAUGUACAUAUAAUACAAAAUAGGGUGCAACUGGUUUGAGGCUAUAUUUAAUUAAUAAUUGGCAAGCCUCCAAUACAAGUACAUCUGACACUGGGCGGACUUGGCCAUGCUCAAUUCACCAAAAAUUGAAGCUAAAGAGAGAAAAGACGCAUAAGGAACUCUCAUUGGUCAAUCAAUUCCUCAAUUACUGUAAAUAUUUUUAGAUUUGAAAUGCUAAUAAACCACAAUGUCAUGUUCGCAGUAGUUCCAAUCACUUAAGACUUGAAGAGUUUCAAAUAAACAUAAUUUAUAAAAAGUUGUAAUACAUUAACUUGAAUACUAGUGGUCUGCAGAGAUUACCCCAAUCUAUUAUUUACUCUUUCUCAGGAAACAUGAUCGAAAAAAAUAGUAAGGACUGCAAUAUUUUACUAUAAUUUUUUUGUGGUGAAUACCCUACUGAAAUUGCAUGAAAAGUCAUGAAUGCACAAGAUUAAUAAAAAAAUUGUACCUUCCCCUUGGCGAACUCUCACAAAAAAAGGGCUAGUGAUUCCUUCUUGAACACACUCUUCUCUUACAUUUUUAAUCUCAACACCCAUCUUGAACUUUUCAGUUCUAGCAUGGAAGGAGGAAGUUCGGAAAUAGACAUUACCAAGGUCUGCUUCUCCAUCAGUCAGUGUCAAGACACGAUCACCUCCCAAGGCUGGUGGUUCUUUUACAGAUUGUGGAUGCACUAGGCAGUCACUAAACUCCUCUGAUGUCCAAUAAUCUUGACCUUCAGCAUUGAAAUCACCAUGAAGUAGUACGAUCUCCACAAAAGCUGCAGACAGCGGACCAGAUGUGACAACCAGAUUGUUCUCAUCAUACAAAGCCACCUUUAAGAGAUUUCCAUCCUCUGAUUUGAUAUUCUCCCGUGUGAAGUAGUCAUUGCACACCGUAUUGACAAAUCGCAAUUGAUAUUUGGUCCUUUGCUUCUUAAUUGGUGGCCUGAAAAUGUUAGGUACAUGAAUAAAAGUUAGUAAGAUGGUUGUCAUGAACUCAUGAUUGACCACCGGCCAAUGUGAUCUUGUUUCCAACAGAAGUAAUGAAAACUUCUUAAAUAAAGAGAGAAAGCCUUGGAUUAGCGAACGCACCCAUCAUCUGAAUCAUAUGGCUCAAUGGGCCGAAUGAGAACACCUCUCCUCUGAGGAGUUUGUGUGGCUCGACUCGUAACACUGGUAAUUAUCUUCCAAACAGAAUCGUCUGAUGAAAUACUGGCCAGUAACUUAUGGGUUUUAUCCAUGAGGCUCGUACUGGGGAAAUCUUCUUUAUAAAACCCUGAUUGUGUGCUAUACAGCGGCAUGAGCUGAUCAAGA